GACCUAAGCCGAGGCCGAAAGGCGUAGGCGAUGGACAACAGGAAGAGAUUCCUGUACCAGUGCUAAUUGAUUAACCGAUGGGGUGACACAGAAGGAAAGGGAAUCGCACGAAUGGAAAAGUGCGUCCAAGCAGUGAGUGUGAGAAGUAGGCAAAUCCGCAUCUCGCGAAGCAUGAGCUGUGAAGGGGAAGGAAAUUAAGUACGGAAGUUCCUGAUUUCACGCUGUCUAGAAUAGCCUCUAGGAA
rnacentral:rRNA from 1 species